rnacentral:rRNA from 1 species
CAGCCGCCGCGGUAACACAGAGGGUGCGAGCGUUAAUCGGAUUUACUGGGCGUAAAGCGUGCGUAGGCGGCUUCUUAAGUCGGAUGUGAAAUCCCUGAGCUUAACUUAGGAAUUGCAUUCGAUACUGGGAAGCUAGAGUAUGGGAGAGGAUGGUAGAAUUCCAGGUGUAGCGGUGAAAUGCGUAGAGAUCUGGAGGAAUACCGAUGGCGAAGGCAGCCAUCUGGCCUAAUACUGACGCUGAGGUACGAAAGCAUGGGGAGCAAACAGGAUUAGAUACCCCAGUAGUCCCUGUCUCUUAUAA